UACGUAGGGCGCAAGCGUUGUCCGGAAUUAUUGGGCGUAAAGAGCUCGUAGGCGGUUUGUCGCGUCUGCUGUGAAAACCUAAGGCUCAACCUUGGGCUUGCAGUGGGUACGGGCAGACUAGAGUGCGGUAGGGGUGACUGGAAUUCCUGGUGUAGCGGUGGAAUGCGCAGAUAUCAGGAGGAACACCGAUGGCGAAGGCAGAUCUCUGGGCCGUAACUGACGCUGGAGGAGCGAAAGCAUGGGGAGCGAACAGG
rnacentral:rRNA from 1 species